rnacentral:rRNA from 1 species
UACGUAGGGGGCAAGCGUUGUCCGGAAUUACUGGGCGUAAAGCGCGUGUAGGCGGGUCGGUUAGUCGGACGUGAAAGGCUGGGGCUCAACCCCAGAUCGCCGUUCGAAACUGCCGUUCUUGAGGGUCGAAGAGGAGAGUGGAAUUCCUGGUGUAGCGGUGAAAUGCGUAGAGAUCAGGAGGAACACCCAUGGCGAAGGCAGCUCUCUGGUCGACAUCUGACGCUGAGACGCGAAAGCGUGGGGAGCGAACGGG